UGAGGAAUAUUGGGCAAUGGGCGGAAGCCUGACCCAGCAACGCCGCGUGAAGGAAGACGGCCUUCGGGUUGUAAACUUCUUUUUUGGGGGAAGAGAGAGGACGGUACCCCAAGAAUAAGUCACGGCUAAAUACGUGCCAGCAGCCGCGGUAAUACGUAGGUGACAAGCGUUAUCCGGAAUUACUGGGCGUAAAGCGCACGCAGGCGGUGAGUUAAGUCUGACGUGAAAUUUCCAGGCUUAACUGGGAGGGGGCGUUGGAGACUGGCGUGCUUGAGGCGAUGAGAGGGGUGUAGAAUUCCCGGUGUAGUGGUGGAAUGCGUAGAUAUCGGGAGGAAUACCAGUGGCGGAAGCGACACCCUGGCAUUAGCCUGACGCUCAGGUGCGAAGGCGUGGGGAUCGAACG
rnacentral:rRNA from 1 species